rnacentral:tRNA from 1 species
GUUUAAGUAGUUUAUAAAAAUACUGAUUUGUGGUGUCAGUGAUAUGAAUUUAUUCAUCUUAGACU